rnacentral:lncRNA from 1 species
UUGUGUAGAAAAAUUCAAAAAAAUUAUCUUAAAAUAUAAUUAGAAUCUUCCAUCUGCGAGUAUGAUUGUGAAGAGAUUGACAGAGAUCUUUUGGGCAUCCAGCAAAACAAACGUGAUAAGAAAGAUGAAAACAUCAAAACAAAAUAUAAAAAAAAAAAAAAGAGAGGUAGAAAACUUUUGGAGAAAAUAUUUAUUUUUUAUAGCA